GGCCAAGUUUUUAAGGGCGCACGGUGGAUGCCUUGGCACCAGGAACCGAUGAAGGACGUGGGAGGCCGCGAUAGGCCCCGGGGAGCUGUCAACCGAGCUUUGAUCCGGGGGUGUCCGAAUGGGGAAACCCGGCAGUCGUCAUGGGCUGUCACCCGCUGCUGAACACAUAGGCAGUGUGGAGGGAACGCGGGGAAGUGAAACAUCUCAGUACCCGCAGGAAGAGAAAACAACCGUGAUUCCGGGAGUAGUGGCGAGCGAAACUGGAUGAGGCCAAACCAGUCACGUGUGAUACCCGGCAGGGGUUGCGUGGUUGGGGUUGUGGGAGUUCUCUUUCACAGUCUGCCGGCUGUGAGACGAGUCAGAAACCGUUGAUGUAGGCGAAGGACAUGCGAAAGGUCCGGCGUAGAGGGUAAGACCCCCGUAGCUGAAACAUUAGCGGCUCGUUUGAGAACCACCCAAGUAGCACGGGGCCCGAGAAAUCCCGUGUGAAUCUGGCGGGACCACCCGUUAAGCCUAAAUAUUCCCUGGUGACCGAUAGCGGAUAGUACCGUGAGGGAAUGGUGAAAAGUACCGCGGGAGCGGAGUGAAAUAGUACCUGAAACCGUGUGCCUACAAGCCGUGGGAGCGUCGCUGAUGGGUUCGCCCAUCAGUCGUGACUGCGUGCCUUUUGAAGAAUGAGCCUGCGAGUUUGCGGUAUGUUGCGAGGUUAACCCGUGUGGGGAAGCCGUAGCGAAAGCGAGUCCGAAGAGGGCGUUGAGUAGCGUGCCCAAGACCCGAAGCGGAGUGAUCUAGCCAUGGGCAGGUUGAAGCGGAGGUAAGACUUCGUGGAGGACCGAACCCACCAGGGUUGAAAACCUGGGGGAUGACCUGUGGUUAGGGGUGAAAGGCCAAUCAAACUCCGUGAUAGCUGGUUCUCCCCGAAAUGCAUUUAGGUGCAGCGUCGUGUGUUUCUUGCCGGAGGUAGAGCACUGGAUAGGCGAUGGGCCCUACCGGGUUACUGACCUUAGCCAAACUCCGAAUGCCGGUAAGUGAGAGCGCGGCAGUGAGACUGUGGGGGAUAAGCUCCAUGGUCGAGAGGGAAACAGCCCAGAGCAUCGACUAAGGCCCCUAAGCGUGUGCUAAGUGGGAAAGGAUGUGGAGUCGCAGAGACAACCAGGAGGUUGGCUUAGAAGCAGCCAUCCUUGAAAGAGUGCGUAAUAGCUCACUGGUCAAGUGAUUCCGCGCCGACAAUGUAGCGGGGCUCAAGCACACCGCCGAAGUCGUGUCAAUGCAGCAAUACUCCUAACGGAGGCUGUGUUGGGUAGGGGAGCGUCGUGUGCCGGGUGAAGCAGCCGUGGAAACGAGUUGUGGACGGUUCACGAGUGAGAAUGCAGGCAUGAGUAGCGAUACACACGUGGGAAACGUGUGCGCCGAUUGACUAAGGGUUCCUGGGUCAAGCUGAUCUGCCCAGGGUAAGUCGGGACCUAAGGCGAGGCCGACAGGCGUAGUCGAUGGACAACCGGUUGAUAUUCCGGUACCCGCUUUGAAGCGCCCAAUAUCGAAUCCAUUAAUGCUAAGGCCGUGAAGCCGCCCUGGAGUCUUCGGACAAAGGGGAGUGGUGGAGCCGCUGACCCAAGGUGGUAGUAGGUAAGUGAUGGGGUGACGCAGGAAGGUAGUCCAGCCCGGGCGGUGGUUGUCCCGGGGUAAGGGUGUAGGGCGCUGUCUAGGUAAAUCCGGGCAGCAUGAAGCCUGAGACCUGAUGCCGAGCCGAUUGUGGUGAAGUGGAUGAUCCUAUGCUGUCGAGAAAAGCCUCUAGCGAGUUUCAUGGCGGCCCGUACCCUAAACCGACUCAGGUGGUCAGGUAGAGAAUACCGAGGCGUUCGGGUGAACUAUGGUUAAGGAACUCGGCAAAAUGCCCCCGUAACUUCGGGAGAAGGGGGGCCAUUGCUGGUGAU
rnacentral:rRNA from 1 species